rnacentral:SRP_RNA from 1 species
GCUGGGUGUGCUGGUACAUACCUAUAGUCACAGUUACUUGGGAGACUGAAGCUGAUUAAUAACUUGAAUUCCAGGAGUUCUGAGCUGCAGUGAGCUAAGCUGAUCAGGUGCCCCUACCAGGUCUGGCAGCAACAUGUGAGCCCUCAAGACCAGGGGGCUGCUAGUCUGUCUAAAGAGGGGUGAAUUGGCCCAGGCUGGAAGUGGAGCAGGUCAAAGCUCCUGUGUCAGUUGCCACAGUCAGUGGGAUUGGGUUGUCGAGUGGCUACUGCAGUUCGAACAUGAGUGCAAUGGGGAGAGA